rnacentral:rRNA from 1 species
UACUGGAUGCUUGCGGGCCCGUAUCGGGUACCAACAGCAACCAAACUCCGAAUACCGGUGACGCGUAUCCCGGCAGUGAGUCGGCGGGGGAUAAGCUUCGUCGUCGAAAGGGAAACAGCCCAGACCGUCGUCUAAGGUCCCGAAGCGUGUGCUAAGUGGGAAAGGAUGUGGAGUCGCAUAGACAGCCAGGAGGUUGGCUCAGAAGCAGCCACCCUUGAAAGAGUGCGUAACAGCUCACUGGUCUAGUGGUUCCGCGCCGACAAUGUAGCGGGGCUCAAGCACACCACCGAAGACGCGGCAGUAUUUUGUACUGGGUAGGAGAGCGUCCCAUGAGGGGCGAAGCGGCCGUGUGAACGCGCCGUGGACUUCAUGGGAGUGAGAAUGCAGACAUGAGUAGCGAGAGACGGGUGAAGAUCCCGUCCGCUGGAUGACCAAGGGUUCCAGGGCCACGUUCAUCGUCCCUGGGUGAGUCGGGUCCUAAGGCGAGGCCGACAGGCGUAGUCGAAUGGAUGAACGGGUCGAUAUUCCCGUACCGGCUUUCAGCCGCCAAAACCGAGGCUUGGAGUACUAACCUCCGGGUCCGGGCUUACUGCUCCUUCGGGGGCGGGAUGCCCUGGCCUGUUGGGACCGAUCCUUGUAGUAGGUCAGCGCAGGAGUGACGCAGAAGGGUAGCCGGCCGCGGAGGUGGUCUUCCGUGGUCAAGCACGCAGGGCGUGGGACAGGCAAAUCCGUCCCGCAUGGGUCCGAGGUGCGAUGGUGGGGGCCUUAUGGCCCGAUAUCCGGUGAUCCCGGCUGCCGAGAAAAGCUUCGGCGUCAGGCUCAAAGCCGCCCGUACCCCAAACCGACACUGGUGGUCAGGUAGAGAAUACCAAAGCGAUCGAGCGAAUCCUGGUCAAGGAACUCGGCAAAUCACUCCCGUUCCUUCGGUUUAAGGGAGACCCCCGAUGGUGAACCGCCUCGCGCGGGGAGCUUUUGGGGGUGGCACAGACCAGGGGGUAGCGACUGUUUACCAAAAACACAGGUGCAUGCGAAGGCGCAAGCCGCUGUAUAUGCACUGACGCCUGCCCGGUGCCGGAAGGUUAAGAGGAUCCGUCAGCCUUCGGGUGAAGCGGUGAAUUCAAGCCCCGGUAAACGGCGGUGGUAACUAUAACCAUCCUAAGGUAGCGAAAUUCCUUGUCGGGUAAGUUCCGACCUGCACGAAUGGCGUAACGACUUCCCCACUGUCUCGACCAGGAGCUCGGCGAAAUUGCAGUACGAGUAAAGAUGCUCGUUAAGCGCAGAAGGACGAAAAGACCCCGGGACCUUUACUAUACCUUGGUAUUGGCAUUCGGUGUGGAUUGUGUAGCAUAGGCGGGAGGCCGAGAGGCGCGGUCGCCAGAUCGCGCGGAGCCGUAAGGUGAAAUACCGCUCUGUUCGCAUUGGAUGUCUAACCUCGAACAGUC